CUUUAACGCGUUAUUAAUGAAGAAGCCCACUCGGUCGUAUAUGACUUGAACCAAGGAGAGCCUUCCUACUGUACUGUAGGAGCUGGUAGAGUGUUUGUGUGUCUGCACAGCUGUAAAGUUAGUCGGCCUGCUCAAGAACCUCCUCUUCACACAACACCAAAACAUGUCAAACCUCAGCGAGGACCACCGGCGUGUUCUGCAGCAUGCGAUAAGCUCCAUACGUCAGACACGAUAGUGUCGGGAGUCCCAGUAAGAAUGUGGCCCUUCCACUCUGC